rnacentral:rRNA from 1 species
CCUACGGGUGGCAGCAGUAGGGAAUCUUUCACAAUGGGCGAAAGCCUGAUGGAGCAACGCCGCGUGGGUGAAGAAGGUCUUCGGAUCGUAAAACCCUGUUGUUAGAGAAGAAAGUGCGUGAGAGUAACUGUUCACGUUUCGACGGUACCUAACCAGCAAGCCACGGCUAACUACGUGCCAGCAGCCGCGGUAAUACGUAGGUGGCAAGCGUUAUCCGGCUUGAUUGGGCGUAAAGGGAACGCCGGCGGUCUUUUAAGUCUGAUGUGAAAGCCUACGGCUUAACCGGAGGAGUGCAUUGGGAAACUGGGAGACUAGAGUGCAGAAGAGGAGAGUGGAAGUCGAUGUGUAGCGGUGAAAUGCGUAGAUAUAUGGAAGAACACCAGUGGCGAAAGCGGCUCUCUGGUCUGUAACUGACGCUGAGGUUCGAAAGCGUGGGUAGCAAACAGGAUUAGAUACCCCAGUAGUC